ACAGGAAUAAUAGUAGCACUUGUCUCUUAGGGUUGUUGUGAGGGUUAAAUGAGAUAAUUGUAAAGCAUUUAGCCCAGUGCCAGGUCCUUAGUAAGCACUAAUAAAUAUUAACUAUUAAAAACAAUUCUUGCCCUUAAAGAGUUUAUCACAAUGACUGGUUCUCUUCCUAUAAGGCUGUAUUUGAACUCAGAUCUUCAUGACUCCAAAACUAGCUGUCCUAAGGAUAUAGCACUCUAUAAUAUUGCCACUUCAUGGCCAUCCUUUAUAUUUUAACGAAUGUACCACCUGCAUAUUGCCAUUCCUUAAAUUUGUUAAUUUUGCAAAUUUACUUAGUUGUAGGUCUUUCUUUGGAACAGAUAAACAUUAAAUUGAUUAGUAAAGUUAGAGCAUUUAAAAAUUUUAAUAAAGAUUUUCUUUAGGACUUUUCAUAUUAUACAGAUAAAUUUCACUUUAGUGGCAUGUGGGAAAGUGACUUCCCCUAUAGGAAGAGAACCAAUCCUUUUUAACAGUCACUCAGAAAGGUGUUAUCUAGAUUCCCUUCCUGCUACCCUGUCACUAUUUGUUGAUUUUCUGUUUCCCGGGCAACUCUGUAUGCUGCUGCCAAAUCACAGUCCCAGUUUAUUCAUAAGGUUUCUAGUAUUGGGUAAAUUUAAACAGGUGUAGCAUGUUUCUUUCCAAAGAAUUUCAUCAUUCUAUUUCCCUUUUUCUUUCCAGGACCGCUUACAGCAAGGUAUAGACCUUAGCUAUAUUAGUCCGAAGGAAGAAAUAUUUGAAUCCAUUUGAAAUUAGAAAGAAAAAUCAAUGCAGUGUUAUGAUAAUUUAGAGUAUCUAAAGUUUAGUGGCAGGAAGACGACUGGAUCCUUAAAUCUGUGCGAUCUCUCCUGUCAGAGCCCCUUUUGUAGCCUGUAAUCCAAUAAAGAAGAUAACUUAGUUCAUUUAAAUGUUUUCUAUGGCCCUUUGUGUGAGGAGUGUCUGAAAAGCUUUUGGUGACUGGCAAUAUCCUAUCUUUUUUGUCCACUUGUAGAACUUGUGGCAGACUUGCUACACAGAGUCAUAAUUUCAGAAUUUGCAGAAUAUCAUAUCAGAGAUUUGUUUUAUAAGGGGAAAAAAUCUAAGUAGGCAUAUAAAGAAGAACUAUUCACUCUGAGAUGAAUUUACACUUCUUCAUAUUGUUAAGAAGUGUUUUUAUCAAAUAACUUCAAUUAGGUUCCAUAUAUAUAUUAAAUCAUUUUAUAGAUUAAGAAACUGAGGUCCUGAAGUCAAUCAAGACAUUGAUUAAAUUGGAGAAAAGAUUAAUUCUAGCCAGGACUAGUGCCAUUUCUAUCACUGCAGGAAGACACAAUUUUAUCAUUCUUCUUUUUUCCCCCUGCAACAUCCUUAUUCAAUCCGUAUUCAAUGUACUUUGGAUUAGUAAUCCAAAUUUCAAUACACAACUCAGAGUUAGGUUUCAUGGAGGUAGAAAGCAAAUUAAAUGGUACAUCUUAAAGUACUUCCUGUCUCUCAGUUCAUAAUAUAGAUCUAUUUUAUUGUGAUCUUUUCAUAAAAUUGAUCAUUUCAUUCAAAAAACAUUUAUUAAGUAUCUACUAUGUAUCAAAUACAGGGGGAGAGAUACAAAGACAAAAACAAAAUACUCUUUGCCCUCAAGAACGUACCUUCUUUUACAGGGAAAUACUAUGCCCAUGUAAUAAACAAAUAUAAAAUAUAUACAAAGUUAGUACAAAGUAAUUUUGAAGACAGGAGCAUACUAGAAACUGUGGGGGGAUGCCUAGGCUUUUUUUUUUAUUUAUUUAAGAUGCCUAGGCUUUAUGGAGAUGCCACCUGAGCCUCAGGAACCCCAUGGUUUUGUGAUUUGUGCAUGGAUCAGAGAGAUGGAAUACCCGUAGAGGGAGCAGCAAGUAGACUAAUUUGGAACAAAGAGUAGACAUCAAAAAAGACUGACCAGUAGACUGACCAUAUGUAGUGACGAACUUUAAAUAUCAAAUAGAGUUUAUAUUUUAUCCUAAAGGCUAUAUUGAUCCUUUAGAGAUUUUUGAUCAGAGAACUGCUUUAGGAAUAUCCAUUUAUUGGGGGGCAGUUUUUUAUCAGGGUAAGAAGGAGACUGGAAGCAAGGAAUCUAAUUAGGUUAUUGAAAUAGCCCUAGGCAAGAAGUAAUGAGGGUUUGAAUUAGGGUUGCAGCUUUGUGAGAGGAGGAGCAAGGAAUGGGUUGUAAGGAAGUUGUGGAGGGUGGAAUACAGACAUGGCAAUUGAUUGGAUAACUGAAUACUGAGGACAACAGGCAGGGAGAAUUUAAGUUGACUCUGAGUUUGAGAAACUGUAAACUUCUAUAUCAGCAGAAAUAGGGAAGUUAGGAAGAGGGAAAGGUUUUGAGGGGCAGGUAUUGACAAGUUGAGUUUGAAAUGCUUCUGGGACAUCCAUUUGGAAUCAGUAAUUAGGGACUGGAUUUCAGAGAGAGACUAAAGAUAGAUAAUAUAGAUUUGGUAGUCAUCUAAAUAAAGAAGAUAGUUAAUCCAUAAGAGCUAAAAAGAUCUCUGAGAAUCAGAGUCCAAGGCAGAUCAUCUACAUUUUGGGGCAGGACAGAGAUAAUGGUCUGUCUAGUAAGAAGACUGAGGAGUGUAAAAAUAGGAAGAGAGCCAAGAGAGAGCAGUAUAAAGAAACAAACAAAAAGAAAUCAGGGAGGAAAGAGUUAUCUGGGAAUACGGUUUCUGUUAAUAUAUUUUAUACCACAUUAUUCUAGGUUAAAAUCCUUAUUUUGCAAUAGUAACAUUGAACAUUAAUAAUGAUUGAGUUAUCUCUAUAUUCUAUUAUGUUUAAAACAGAAUUUUCAAAUAUACUUAAAUGUGAAUAUUCUAAAUUUUAAACUUCAGUUGAUAUUCACUUGAUUUUAACAUAUCUUUACAAUGAAUUUAUUUAAUUUUGAUAUUGUGUUUCAAGGCUGAUUAUGUCAAGUAGUUACUAUCACUGUAAUAUGAAUAUUUUCCUUUCUUUGAUUAUAUAGCCAUGGAACCAGUCAAUCACCAUCAGUUGAGGGAGUGGUGUACUUUUGAACAUUUCUUUAUUUGGAAAUGUGGAGAUAUCAUAUUAUUAUUAAUUUUGAGGAAAUUAGCAAAAUUUGUAGAUUUGUGACGAGUAAACGUAACAAUAAAUAUAGAGUUAGUGAUAAUAUCCCUAGCUUCCUUCCAAAGCUCAUUUCAAACACCAUCUUCUGUAUGUCUUUAGAGUCACUGCUGGCAUAAUACUGGUAUACAGUAAGAGCUGAAUAAAUGUUUGCUUAUUAUUAAUUUAGCACAUUCUGUUCUUACUGAAUUCAUGUGUAGUCUUCUGUCCCUCUCUGAUCAAUAUCUGAGAAUCCAGGACUGUCCAUUUCCAAUAGGGAUGGAGGCUAACAGUUUAGGUCUUAGUAUCAUAGUUCACCAAUCCCUUUUUCUUUAGAGUUGUUCUUACUGCCUGUCCACAGUAUUUCACUGCAAGAUUUUCAGACAAGGAAAUGUGACUACCCUGCAAACAGAAAAAUAUUCUACAGGAUUUACUGUAUGUGUAUGUGUGUGUUCACAAAUAGCACAAACAUAUUAGACAAAGUUAAAACUUUGGAGUAUUAUGUACAAAAGAAAGAUGAACAUCAGAUGUAUUUGGGGAAAACAUGUAUGUACCAAAGUCUAACGUGAUUGCUUUGUGAUUAGCACCAUUAUUAUUUUUUAUAUAAUGAAUUAGGGUUUUUUUUUUCAAUGUAUAGUUCUUAGCCACAAAGCUUAUUUUCAUUUCAAUAAUGCUUGUAAUCAUACUAAAUAGUCAACCCUAUUGGGUGAUUUGGUUCAGGAAAAUAGUUCAGAAACAUUCCUAGAAAUUCAGCAAAACAUGGAAAGACUUGUGUGACCUAAUACAGAAUGAAGUAAGAAGAAUAAGGAAGAUAAAAUACACAAUAAUCUCAAUAAUGUAAAAUUUAAAAACCUACUAAAGUGAAGCUCAACACUAUAAUUGUAAUAAGCAAGUUUGACCUUGAAAAUUGGAUGACAAAAUUUUCCUUCUUUUUUUUCCUACCAUGAUGAAGGAUUGUGGAUGCAGUCCUUAUUUGAUUGUUGUUUUGUCUAACUUUUUACAAGAAAAAGAUUUAGUGAUUUGGAAAUAAUGGUUAUUCAGAAAAAAGUGUCAUGUUAAAAUAAAAAUAAAUUUCUUUUAAAGAAGGAAAAAAGAAUCUAGACUUUAAAGUCAGUAAAUCUAGAUUCACGAUUUUCCAUUUGUUGGUUGUGUGAUCUUUGCUAGUAGUAGUGAUCCAAAUCAUUACACCUCUCUCAUUACACCUCUCAUAUCUGUAAAAGGAGGAGAUUUUAAUAGUCUCUUCCAGCUCUAAUAUGCCACGAUUUGUUGUCCAUAUUAUUGGAAAAUGUUAAACACUCUGGAAAUAUUUAUAUAGUUGGAUUUUUCUUCUUUAUAUAUUCAAUCUGCAUCUUACUUUAUAUUUUCAGGAUGGGAGUGGUGGAGUAAAAGAUGAAUUUUAGUUGUUUCAUGAUGUGUUCAUAUCUUUUGUGUAACACCUAAUCUAAUGCCUUGCACUUAGAAGGCCCCCUUAAAAUGUUUGUUAAAUGAAUCAAAGAAUGAGAUUGCAUUCCUCUUACUCGUACUGCAGGAUUGACUUGAAAAGUUGUUUAGUCCAUUCCUUUACAUAUGUAGAAAGGCUUUGCUUCAAGCAUCUUGGUCUCUGAUCUUGUUAGUCAUUGAACUGGAGAGCUGCGUAGAUGUUCAGUAACAGUUUUGAGAGGAAAGCUUUGCCUUUUACACUGAUCUAGAUGAAAUGGUGGGGGAGAAGGUGCUGCUAUUCCUCUGAGUAAGGUGCAUGGUUCUUAUUCUGGAUGAGGACUUCAUUUCCAACCAAGGAAGCGGUAAGUCAUUGUUUAAGGGAGUUCCUUUAAAAGUUCAUUGGGUUAUUAUUUUAUUAUGCAAAUUGAGACUAAAAAGCUCUGUUUCUGUCCCUGUGCUUUCUACAUAGGGGCUAUAAUCUUUAAAACCUGAGAACUAGGAAUUUCAAUCUCAGAACUUUGGCAAAGGUGCUACAAGGACAAUUAUACCUGAGUUUUAAGGCCCUUUUCCCUUCCCAGUGCUGUAUUCUCUUUUGUUCCAGAAUAUUUUUUAGACCAACAACCUUCCCCCCCCCAUUUAAAUAAAUACAAUUGGAUUAAAACUAUGUGACAUGGUUAUUUUUCAAAGUUGGGUAAAGAAUCCAUCAACAUAAAAGAUAGAAAAUUUGAACAUUCUUUUCUCUGUCAUGUUUUCCUCAAUCUAUUUGAAAACUAAAUUUUAUAAAAGAAAGAAUUGACCUAGGUCACAUUUUUGAUGGACCAUUGAAUAUUUUCUAUUAAAGUUCACGACUCUGUCAUUUUCAUGGCUGAACUGUUUAAAGUGUUUGAUUUUUGUACAGUCAUAAUCUCUGACAAUGUAAGAAAAACAUGAGCAUGAAGGUCGAAUGAGUGAUUUGUCUUUACCAAACAGUAUAGUGAAUGAUAUUUUUUCAUAACACAUUAUAUACCUGAGGGACAGGGUAGCAGAAUACAAAUUCUAUUUAGUUUCAGAUAAUUUACUACACAGAAGACUUGUUCUAUAGGCUGGUAUUUCAACCUUAUUAAGCAAAAGGAGCAUUCAAUAUUGAAUUACUGGCAUAGUUUCCUGGGGAUAGUAAUUGGUGGUUACAGGGUUUUUGUAUUUCUCAAUAGAAGCAAUUGCUUAGAAUGGAUGUAACUUUACUGAAGCACCUCUCACAUAAUCAUUUUUGUUAUCUGUACUAUAGACACACUGCUUAUUUUAGAGUUAUACUCCUCUUAGUUAAGAUUUACCAAGAUAAAAAAGUAAAAAGGAUUUUUUAAAAGCACUUUUGAAGAAAUGAAGUUGAUUUAAUUUGAUUUCUUUGAGGAUAGUUCAGUGGUUUUCCUUGUAUCUUAUUGUAGAAAUAGUCCCUGAUUCAGACAAUAUUUACUGUUGCCUAUUAUAUACAAAUAACCACUCUGCACUGACAAGGGCUUUCCUCUAUCCUAUGGCCCAUGUUAUUGCAAAUAGUUGCCCUUUCCUUUCUUGCUUUCCUCUAUUCAGCUUGUGUGAGAGACAGGUAGACUAGCUGAUCAUCGGAUUCAUCCCUUAGCUUUGCUUCUUUCUAUUUUCAACAGCCCUCCCCCUCCAUCCCUACUACUUUCAGGCUUAGGGGAUUAUUAGCCAACUUUUAAGGUAUCCUUUUGAUGUCAUGCCCUUCCCAUUCUUCCACACACCAUUACAAUUAACUAUCCUUUCUUUUCCCUCUGAGUUCUAGUAGACUGCUGCUGUGUUAGGAGAUUAAGCAAUGAAUAUGAGUCCAUUAAUGAUCUCAGAUCCACCCCCUGGGUCAAGACUCGGGUCCAGACUGGACAUGCAGAAGCUCUGCAUGUUUCAUGUUGUUAUAUAGAGUUUCAAACACAACCUUCACAAGUCCAUAAAUCCUGGAAAAGAAUCUUAAAGGUCAUUUAGUUCUACCUUCUCUCGUUUUAUAGAUGAGCCCUUCAAUAGAUUAAGUGAUUAGGUCAGUCACCCAGGUGACUUUUUCUGAGAAAGUUGGGAUUAGCAUUUAGGUCAUCCUGAGACUCCAAAUCUAGUACUUUAGCAUUGUGCCCUGCAGCCUUUUACCCAUCAAUAGUAUGAGACACCAGAACUUGGAGUCUGUUCAUCACAUUAGUGUGGGAAACUACACAUCAUGUAGUUUUUUCAUCCCUUAUAUAGUUUUUCUGUACCAUUUAAUGCACUUUUUUUUAUUCCUUAUCAGUUUGUUGAACUAUUUUUGUCCUUUUUCCCUUUUAUCAUUUUUUAUAAAGAAUUGAUGUCUUCUAAAGGAUAGAAGCAUACAAUAAGAAAUGUAGGUAAUAUAAAAACAAAAGUUAUCAACAAAAAUAUAUUUUAUAAAACUACAAGGAACUUUUAACUACAGGAGACAGGAGAUUGAUCAAGGUCUGAGGUUAGUGUGAAUGAUGACCUCUAAACUUAAGAUGCAGAGCCUGUGAGA